GGUCUUACUCAAGCAGCUCCUAGUUGCUGGUGGGGCUGUCCGGAAAUCCUGCUGAUCUCAGAUAGCCCUGAACAACCUGAAGUUAAAGGCGCCCAGGACAGAGAAGUACCCUCAGAGGGGCGUGAAGGAGGGUGGAGCAGGCACUGGAACCAUGAACUUUUGGUAGUAACCUGGUGCCAGAGGGCUAAGCCUGUACACCAAGCAUCUUAUGUCAUCUUCUCGGCAAUCCUCAGAGAAUAGGAGCCCAGGCCAGGGGCUGAGGGAGACACAGAGAAGAUGAGGUCCUUGCUGGUAAGGGACACACUCGAAGUGCGGGAGGCAGAACCGAGAACAGCCAGAUCGAAUGUGAGGUUGAAGAGUGAAAUGGCCGGUGACGAUAAUAACGGGGAGAUAAUAACAGCGCCGCGCCCCUCCCCUCCCGGCCGUGUGCCAGGCGCUGCACCAGGCACAUGACACACAUCUCCUCUUCUAGUCUUCACAAUGGCCAUGAGGCAUUUCCUUCCCUUCUUCUGGUACCAUCGACUGUCCUAUAAUAUUCAUUUCGGGUGAUUUGAGAGGCUGACCUAACCAGGCCAGUGCGGCUCAAGAGUGGAACUCCAGCUGGAACUCUUAGUGGAGAAGUCUCAGCUGCAACUACUAUUUGCAAGGAUGGAUGGGCCCAGGACCGUGGGGCAUCGCAUGGGGAAGGCCUGCCUGGAAGUUAGACCAACACAGAGCAGAAAGCAGGGCCACAGGAUGGAGAAACAGAGGCCGCAUCUGGUCUCACUGAGGCCUUGUAUCCAGCUGUGCCCAGAGCUACCCUGGACCUGUUAGUUGUACAAACCAAUAGAUUCCCUCUGCGCUAUGGCCAGUUCGUUUCUGUCACUUUGACCUGAAGAGCGCUGACUAAUGGAGGUAGAGCUCUCAGGCCUGUUUUUAUCACCAUCUAGGGGAAGCUGGGGAACACCUAUGUGUUUUAUAAAAGUACUAGGGCCUAGAGCAGUGUUUUUCCAAGUGCAGGCCACAAAAAACAAAUACCAGCAUCACUCUGAUACUAAACUUGAUGAAAACGCACAUUCCUGGGCCCCAACUUCCAAAUCAGAAUCUUGGGCAGUGAGGCCUAGGACUCUGCAUUUUGUCUAACACUCCAGGGGAUCUUCAGGGCACCCAAUUUGGGAACCAGUGGCUGAAUUAGGUGACCUGGGAUCCGAUCUAGCUCAGAGCCUGCCACCAACUUGGAUAUCAAAACAGGUCCCUGGGCUGGGUGAGGCAGCUCAUGCCUGUAAUCCCAGCACUUUGGGAGGCCGAGGUGGGCAGAUUACCUGGGGUCAGGAGUUCAAGACCAGCCUGGUCAACAUGGUGA